UACGUAGGGGGCGAGCGUUGUCCGGAAUUACUGGGCGUAAAGGGUGCGUAGGCGGAUAUGCAAGUCCGAUGUGAAAGACUUCGGCUUAACCGAGGAGCUGCAUUGGAAACUGCAUAUCUAGAGUGCAGGAGAGGGAAGCGGAAUUCCUAGUGUAGCGGUGAAAUGCGUAGAUAUUAGGAGGAACACCAGUGGCGAAGGCGGCUUCCUGGACUGUAACUGACGCUGAGGCACGAAAGCUGGGGGAGCAAACAGG
rnacentral:rRNA from 1 species